ensembl:lncRNA
GUGUGACUCUGCUAACAGGUUAUGGGCCAAGUAACCACGCGAUUCUAAUAGUUUGACGACGGACACGUGCGAUAGCAAGAUGUCUUCUUGCUUGCACGCUGAGAGAUAGCUAGUUUAGCGACGGGAGAACCGGGAAGCUAAAGCUAGGCUAAAAGGGAGCUAAGCUGAGCUACGGACAUAAAAAGCCAUGGCGAACAGAAGCAAGACCAAGUGGCCCACGUUCGACGGGAGAGCAGAGGAGUAUGAGCUAUGGGAAGAAAGGAUGUUGUGCUGCAUGCACGGAGUAGGACUGAAGCAGAUAAUCCUGAACGAACAUCCUGGACCUCUGUCAGCGGCCGAACAGGCCGAAGAUGACAAGCUUAAUGCUGACACAUUGACAGGGCUCUCAGUGCGCUUGUGCCCAAGAUGACGGCGGCAGCAGCCAUGAAGCGGGUCGUGGACGAGAUAACGUCCGGGGAGCUGCGGGAAGAGAAGACUUCACGAUCAGCACGCAGACAGAAGAUGCCAGCCGGACAGCGCAACAGCUGCAGAUCCAGAGAAAAGGACUGAUCGGGGACACGGGCGCGUCGUCCCACAUCCUCAAUGACAGGAGCCGAUUCAAGAACUUUGACAGCACCUUCAAGCCGGAGAGACACAGCAUGGAGCUGGCAGACGGGAAGCGCACCUUCGGGUUGGCGCAAGGCAGGGGAGACGAACAGGUAUGCCUCAUUGACAGCGAGGGGCGCAGGUGUGCAGCGACGUUAAAGAAGGCCCUCUACAUCCCCUCAUUCCCCCAAGGACUCUUCUCGGUAAAGAGUGACACAACCAGUGGUGCUAAGGUAUCUUUUGACGAAGGAAUAAAUCUGCAAUUGAAAUUUCCAUUUUCUCCAACUUCUUCUAUGAUGGCCACACUCUUGUCCCCUAGGACGAAGCAGGCAUCCUUGGGCCUCACUGAAACGAUUCAAGCCACACAGCCUCUCUGUCACAUCCCUCGUCAUCACUGCCACUAGCCGUAUCAAUGUUGCUGAUGUCCUCAUCAUCAUCAUCCCAACUAAGGAUUCCUCCGAUAAAACAGGAACUUUGCUCUCUGACCGUGGGCAGUAUGACAGUGACCUCAGAUGGUGACAUUCAAAGGGUAAGAUCCUGGAUCAUACGGCAUAUUCUGCAUUCAGUUGGCGUUGGUUCGACUCACAUAAGAUUUUCUGUGUAGGUCCCUGUGUUUUUUUUAGAACGUGUAUGGGGGUUGCUGGACCAUGAAACGACUUUUCAACUGCAAACACAGGGAAGCCCCCUUACACCAAUUUGAAGCCCCCUUACACACCAUUUCUAAACCACAUAGAAGAAUUAUUUUCGGCUAGGAGAUGGCGCGUAUAUGACCGCCUACCUCAUGCUCGCAUGCCUCUUCUGCAG